rnacentral:rRNA from 1 species
AUGGUCACCGUCGCCACCGCGUCUGAGGGCCUCGUCGUGGAGGCCGGACACGGGGUCAGGUUCGCCGCGGACGGCAGAGUCGCCGGCCUGGAAGCAGAGCAAUUCGACCUCAUCGUCCUAGCAGGAUCAGCCAACCUCAGGGACAGCAAGCAGCUGGAGAAGAUGGUGAGGAGGCACGCGGAGUCGGGCCGCCUGUGCGGCGCCAUUGGCGCGUCGCCGGCGGUGGCGCUGGCCCGGUGGGGCGUGCUCGAGGGCUUCAGGGCGACCUGCCAUCCAGCUCUGCUGGGGCGGCUGGGCCACGACGGUGGGGUGAUCGCCGUGGAUGACAGGGUGGUGACGGACAGGAACGUGGUGACCAGCCAGGGCGUCGGGACGGUGAUCGAGUUCGCGCUCGCCUUGGUGAAGCAGCUCUACGGCCAACGCAAGGCCGAGGAGGUCGCCGGACCUUUGUAUAUGCGCCCCCAGCAAGGAGUCAAGUAUACCAUGCAAGAGUACAACGAGAUCCAAUGGAAAUGCACCGGCACACCUCAGGUUCUUGUGCCGGUUGCCGACGGCUCGGAGGAGAUGGAGGCUCUCAACCUGAUCGAUGUCCUGCGGAGGGCAGGCGCACGGUCGCGUCAGUCGAGGACACGCCACGCAUUGUGA